rnacentral:sRNA from 1 species
UCAUCAUCGCAGAAGAAUGGCCUAGAAGGCAAUCGCAGACCAUCAACAUCACCUUCAAGCAUCUCUAUGACCUCACUCAUCGUCGGCCGAUCAUAGGAAUUCAUCUGAAUGCAAUGCAGCCCAACAAUACACAACUUCUUUUCCAGCUCAUGCAUAUUAAAGGCACUAGUAACCACCUCACCCAACUCUUGUUGAGCCAGCUGAUUAUACACCCAUGAUGGAUAAUACGCUUGGCUUGAGCUCGACAUAUCCUGCUUAGAGUUCCUUCGCCCUCCAACCAUCUCCAACAGAAGCAUUCCAAAGCUAUACACGUCAGAUUUGCUAGAUAUGACACCAAAGCUCCAAGAUAUCAUCUCAGGAGCAAUAUAACCUAUUGUUCCUCGUGCAGCACUAACAGGCACAAAACUAUUAUCCUGUGGGUACAGUUUGGCAAGGCCAAAAUCAGCAACUUUUGGAAUGAACUUGCUGUCAAGAAGGAUGUUGUGCGGCUUGAUAUCAAAAUGUAGAAUUUGCAUCUCACACCCUCGGUGCAAAUAGUUUAUUCCUCUAGCAAUUCCCAGUGCAAUCUCAUUGAGCUUUUCCCAAGAGAAACUCUUCUCAGGCGAGAAGAUGUACUUCUCCAGAGAUCCAUUGGGCAUGUACUCGUACACAAGUGCUCUCCUUGUUUCCUCGGCACAAAAGCCCACCAACGACACAACAUUAACAUGAUGGAUACUACCAAUGGUGGAGACCUCGUUGAUGAAUUCUUCUCCGUCACAACUAUAGUUGGCCAGUAUCUUGACAGCAACAUGGAUAUUGCCUGGGAGUAGAACACCCUUGUACACAGAACCAUAGCCUCCUUGGCCGAGCUUCUCCGAUCCCUGAAGUGACCUGUAAUUGCAGUGAUAUCGGUGUAGGCAUACCUCGUUGGUCCAAGCAUCAGUUGCAUACGAAGAAACUUGUCGACUGCGUCAAUUGUUAUCCUCUUCUUCCAGCACUUGUGUGCCAGGAAUGUCAUUACUACCAGCGGCGCCCCCCCCCCCCCCCCAACCUGAAUAUUACUGCAUAAAAGGGAAGUUUUAUACUUUACUAUUGGAUAGUAGAGGAGAGGAAUACUGCGAAUAUUAGACACAUUGUAUUGAGCCUCAGAGGACCGGUAUAUAUAGGAGUUUACAAUUACAGAUUGAUGUAGGGAGAAUGUGCUUGAACUUUGAAAGGCGCAACGAUGCAGCAGCUAGCUGGGGUAAUAUGGAGUGUGUAACUAUAUAAAUGCUCACAAAUUAAUUGUUAAAAUCAAUGAAACCACAGGAUAUAUCGCAAGCUCACCGAAAUGUCUCUGCCCUGCACUCCUUGAAAGAGUACGCAGCAUCAAUCGUGUAAGGAAACCGAACAGCGAAUCCACCUCUCAUUAUUUUGACGACAUCCUCGCAGCUUGGAUUCUCUUCUAGCACUCUUGUGUCGUUGCCGUGCAAAGGAGUAAUGGCCAGGUGCCCACACGAAGGCUCAAGAUUAUCAAUAUAACAAGAGUAUAUGCUGCCAAUUAGCACGUAAACGAAGGAACGGCUGGUAUUAUUCAGGCAAGCGACAGGCCUGUACUUCUCAUUGUUGUUUAUUUCCUGCGAACAAUUCACAAAGGCUGACCACCUACUUGAAGCAGGCUCCAGCUCGAUAUGGAUGGUGUGGCAACCAGUAUUCAGGGUUGUAGUUGGAUAAGGUGGAACAAUCCUCUGAGGAAGUGUGUUAGGUGAAUCCGAGAUGUUGGCAUCGACAACCCAGAAGGUAGAAUCACUGUAGUUGAUGCCCGUCACAGAGUACGUUCCCUCGUAGAUCUGAAUCGUAGCCUUGUCAUCGGUGCAAGUCAGCUCGUAGGAUGUAAAACCGCAUCCAGAUGGGUCACCUCGCCGGCGGAAAGGAGACGACACGUUGCUAAGACGGCCGCAGGUGAACGGAAGGCAGUCAUGCCGAUGAUGCUGAUGCCGCCCACCUGCAUCUGGGACGACAACUGCAAGCACAAACAAUACAGAGAUGACUCGCAGGGCGGUUGAGCGAUGGAACGAACCAGGA